rnacentral:snRNA from 1 species
AGUUUUAUGUGGUAGUAUUGUAGCUAGUGAGGUUCUAACAGAAGCACAAUUAAUGCUAUUUGAAAAUUACCAUCACUGUUCAAGUAUUGCUAAGAGAGACUGAGCAUAACAAUACCUUGAACUUCCUCAAGAUUUGUGUCCAAC